UACGGAGGGUGCAAGCGUUAUCCGGAUUUACUGGGUUUAAAGGGUGCGCAGGCGGAUAUGUAAGUCAGUGGUGAAAUCUCUAGGCUUAACCUGGAAAUUGCCGUUGAUACUAUAUAUCUUGAAUGUUGUGGAGGUAAGCAGAAUAUGUCAUGUAGCGGUGAAAUGCUUAGAUAUGACAUAGAAUACCUAUUGCGACGGCAGCUUACUACGCAGAUAUUGACGCUCAUGCACGAAAGCGUGGGGGAUCAAACAGG
rnacentral:rRNA from 1 species